GGAGAUCACUCUUUGCGGCUGAAGGACGCCACAUUUGAAAAAGGCCUGGGUGCACUAUUUUCUAUGUGAUAUUCUUUAGAACACUACCCUCUUUGAGGCUUAAUGUUGUAUCUCCAUGUGAAAAACAGCCCUUGCUUUGGCCUUUACUACAGUAUAUCAGGAGGGAAAACAAGUGAUAUUUAAGCAAAGAGAAAGAUGCGCUGAGGUCAUGCACUAAAUAUUUCUCUCUCUCCCUUUCUGUGUUAUUCCAAAUGAGUGUAAGAUCAGACCAAUUUGUUUUGGCUGGAAAGCAAAGGGAGUUAAACAAUGUUAAACUUUCAUUAUCAGCUGUAUUGUUUCUCUGUUUGCCUGGUGUGAUUAUCAGAAGGCAAACCGAACUGAAUUGCUAAGGCAUUUCAAGGGAGAGUCCAAUAGUAUCAUGUUUAUUUUUGAUGAUUACAGACAUUUACAGAAUGGACAGUGUUUAUCUAAAACUGUGUGUAUUCAUCUGUUUAAGAUGCAUGGCACUUUGAUUUGGCAAGCUUAUUCCUGUACCCCAAAUUUCUGGAUUAUUAGAAAAUAAAUGGAGAGUUUUCCUCAGAAGAAUAUAUACUUUUAAUCAUAGCUAUUCAACACGAUCACUAAUGACAGUGCCUUUUGAGGAUAUCUUAUUUAGACAAACAGGAAGCUGUUUUCCCUAACUUUUUGGAGAUGAAUGUGUUGUGAGGAGGUUAUACCAGUAAAUGAAUAACUUCACUGGGGGCAGGAGGGAUGCAUGCGUGAGACCUCAGUUCAACCAAAGAAGGGAAGUGGGGAAGUGAUUUCCAAGUCUGUUUCAGGAUAAAAUAUGGCAUUUGGCACCUCUAAGCAUCUAAAUUGGCACGGUUUGCCUCUGCCCCUCUCAUGCCAGGGGUUUGUGACUGAUGUGGCACUCAGUAAACACUCAGUGGGCCCGAUUCUCUAUGGGAUGACCUCAAGUAUGGCCACAGUGAGGAGACGCUAAAAGAAAUCUCAGGGAGCUUUUGGAACAUCACGAAGGUCUUCGCUCUCCUGCGCUUCGAGGAAGAGCCCUGAAGCGGGGUGUCUUACAAGCCACCAUCAUCUUUGCAAAACGUUGAGGGAAAUGGUCUGAAGCAUGAGCCGCAGCGUAUGAUGUGUGUCCUCUCAGGAUCUGUAACAGCUGCAGCUCAACCUCAAAGCUUAGCAUCGGGGAAUUUGCCAGAAACUCAAUGCUAUUUCCCAAACGCUGAGAGUUUUGGCUACAAAUUAGGAAAUAUUUCUCUAAAGCACAACACUUUGAAGAAAGUGGCAUGCCAUGAGAAACUGCAAAAUAACACUCGCUAGAUUUCCCAGCGUGAGGUAAGAAUAACUCCUGCUGACGCACAGAGCCUGUGGGAGAUGGUGUUAGCCACUGCGGCAGAGACAAACUGCUAUAUUCUGACUCUCUGAAACACACCUGUGUUUAUACCUGCAAGCUUUGCAGUUACAGACAGACAUCUGCGUGCCUUCAAUCCAGAAGCAAGAGCACCUUCUAGAACGUGGACAUUUAUACUUUGGUAGGAAAUGCACGAGAGUCUAUGUUUUCUGGUAUCUAUUUGCCCAGAAAUAAAUUUUACUGGUCAGACACAGAGCCCAAUUCAGCUGUGUUUCCAGGGUGGAAUUCACAAUUUACAUGAAUGCUAGUGUUCGAAUUUGGUCUUACUGAUUAUAUCAUUUUUUGGGACAGUGUCAAUGUAUAUUUCUAAUAAAACCCUGGAAAGGAAAUCAAAUCACACAAUAGAUAAAAAUAGGCAUUAUAGACAUCUGAAUUAUAAAGAUGUAAAUAUAUUAAAAUGAUA
rnacentral:sRNA from 1 species